AGAGUUUGAUCCUGGCUCAGAACGAACGUUGGCGGCGUGGAUUAGGCAUGCAAGUCGAACGAAUGCUAGCUGUGUAGCAAUACAUGGCUAGCGGAAGUGGCGAAAGGGGCAGUAAUGCAUGGGUAACCUACCUUGGGGAUGGGCAUAGCCGUUCUAACGAGCGGGUAAUUCCCAGAGAUUCAGCGGAAGGGCAUCCUUCUGCUGGGAAAUGAAUUUCGCCUCGAGAGGGGCCCAUGUGCUAUUAGCUAGUUGGUGGGGUAACGGCCUACCAAGGCUAAGAUGGCUAGCGGGUGUGAGAGCACGACCCGCGCCACUGGCACUGAGACACUGGCCAGACACCUACGGGUGGCUGCAGUCGAGGAUCUUCGUCAAUGGGCGCAAGCCUGAACGAGCGACGCCGCGUGCGCGAUGAAGGCCUUCGGGUUGUAAAGCGCGAAAGUGGGGACAAAACCGCAAGGUUGAUCGAUCCACAGUAAGGACGGGCUAAGUUCGUGCCAGCAGCCGCGGUAAGACGAACUGUCCUAACGUUGUUCGGAAUCACUGGGCUUAAAGGGCGCGUAGGCGGUCCGACAAGUCGGGGGUGAAAUCCUGCAGCUUAACUGUAGAAGUGCCUUCGAUACUGUCGGUCUUGAGGGAGGUAGGGGUGUGUGGAACUUCCAGUGGAGCGGUGAAAUGCGUUGAUAUUGGAAGGAACGCCGGAGGCGAAAGCGACGCACUGGACCUCUUCUGACGCUGAGGCGCGAAAGCUAGGGGAGCAAACGGGAUUAGAUACCCCAGUAGUCC
rnacentral:rRNA from 1 species